UGUAACUCUUUAAAAACACAGCAAAACCCAAACGAUCUGUACAAGUUUGCCAUCUUGUCCACUCCACUCAACUAUAUCACCUGUCUUAAGACGUAACAUGAAGACUUGUUUGUUGCUGUUAGUUUUAACUGCAGGGUGUUGGUGUGCAACUGUAGCCCCUGGGCGAUGUUUAUUUAGUUGCAUAACGUUGUAUUCCCCAAUAUGUGGAGAUGACGGCGUUACCUAUGACAACAGAUGCCAUAUGGCGGCGCGGGCAUGCGUGUCUGGAAUUACAGUAAGAGUUAAACAUGCGGGACCCUGUGACGAAAUUUCUGACAGUUAGCAUGUUUGACCGACAUAAAUGAAUAAUAAAACAUUA